CGUCUGAACGGCGUCAGUGUCGGUCCUGCUUAAUGAAGUAUAGCCUAUGUGUAUCUUUUUAUACGUAGAAUAACAAGACAGCCAAAAUUCGUCGGCCCGCGCUUACUGGGGUAGCCUACCAUGUUGGCCUCCAUGUGGCAGGCUCACUGUUUGGUAGGAAAGAAAAGGCAGUUGCAUUGGCUUUAUUCGUGCUGAUUCCUGUGAUUAAUCAAUUUGGCGACCCAACUUUAUCGGUACCAGUUAUCCUGAGACCAUUUGCAAUUGUUUUACACAAUGGGGAAUGCAGAAGUGUAUAUAGCUUUCCCCUAUGCUCAGCUUGUAAAAAAAUGUAUGGGUACAAACGCGAAACCACUGAUCGUGACAAUAUAGGCCACGGGAUGAAACUCCCGGACAGCAGUUGUAUUCAAUCCCUUUUCCAACACCCAGCCUGGCCUGCCACACUGAAAGCCCAGCACCAGAAUCAUCAUGGUCUAUCUCUAUGGAGAGGCCUGAGGGGCGAUGGGAACCAAAGACAGAUGGCCUGAAGCACUGAGAGGAGCUACAAAGGGGCUGUCAUUCACAACCAGUCUCAUAGAUCUCACCUGGGAGAAAUAUGAAACACCAAGACAAAAUCCAAGUUCAUACCCCAACUGCUGCCCAUGACCUUUUCUGCUACAAGCAGAAAGAAGGUAUGAUCAUUAUCUUAUUUCGUACAGUGUGAGUUUUUAAAUGGUUCUCAAUUAUGUUCAUUUACCAAAACCCUGGAAUUCCCUCUGGAUGAGGGAACUAUGUUUACGUUCACUUUUGAUUGUGCUCAUGCAAUGGUUGGAGUGAUACGACUGAACUGGAGUGACAUGCUCGUUAUAUUUCUUAAUUAGGCAUGAUCAAAGCCAUGCUAAUGAUGUACCCAGGGUCCUAACAUGAACACGUGUGUGUGUGUGUGUGUGUGU